rfam:Colletotrichum gloeosporioides Nara gc5 unplaced genomic scaffold scaffold708, whole genome shotgun sequence.
ACAUACGACCAUAUCCAUCGGAAAAUUCGGGAUCCCGUCCGCUCUCCCAGAGACAAGCCGAUGAGAGCCGGAGUAGUAGUCGGGUCGGUGACGACCGGCGAAUGCCUGGUGUUGUAUGUC